GGAUGCGAUCAUACCAGCACUAAAGCACCGGAUCCCAUCAGAACUCCGAAGUUAAGCUUGCUUGGGCGAGAGUAGUACUAGAAUGGGUGACCUCCUGGGAAGUCCUCGUGUUGCAUUCC
rnacentral:rRNA from 2 species